GACGAACGCUGGCGGCGUGCUUAACACAUGCAAGUCGAACGGGCCCGCUCUCUUUUUUGGGGGUGGGUUGAGUGGCGAACGGGUGAGUAUCACGUGAGUAACCUGCCCCCUGCUCCUGGAUAACUGCUUGAAAGGGCGGCUAAUACGGGGUGUGCCGGCUGGUCCGCAUGGGCCUGGUCGGGAUAGUUUCAUCUUCGGGUGUUUCGGUGGGGGAUGGGCUCGCGGCCUAUCAGCUUGUUGGUGGGGUGAUGGCCCACCAAGGCGGUGACGGGUAGCCGACCUGAGAGGGUGGGCGGCCACACUGGGACUGAGACACGGCCCAGACUCCUGCGGGAGGCAGCAGUGGGGGGUAUUGCACAAUGGGCGGAAGCCUGAUGCAGCGACGUCGCGUGAGGGAUGGAGGCCUUCGGGUUGUGAACCUCUUUCUCCGGUGGUGAAGGCCCUGUCCGUUGCGGCGGGGUUGACGGUAGCCGGGUAUGAAGCGCCGGCUAACUACGUG
rnacentral:rRNA from 1 species